rnacentral:rRNA from 1 species
UACAGAGGGUGCUAGCGUUGCUCGGAAUCAUUGGGCGUAAAGGGCGUGUAGGCGGUUUGUUAAGUCAUGUGUGAAAUCCCUCGGCUCAACCGGGGAACGACGCAUGAAACUGGCAAGCUAGAGUACCAAAGAGGGGGGUGGAAUUCCCGGUGUAGCGGUGAAAUGCGUAGAUAUGCGGAGGAACACCGAUGGCGAAGGCAAUCCCCUGGGCCUGCACUGACGCUCAUGCACGAAAGCGUGGGGAGCAAACAGG